rnacentral:tRNA from 1 species
GCGGAGGUACCCAAGGGGAUCAGGGCAGU